rnacentral:rRNA from 1 species
UACGUAGGGGCUAGCGUUGUCCGGAUUUAUUGGGCGUAAAGAGCGUGUAGGCGGCCAGGUAGGUCCGUUGUGAAAACUCGAGGCUCAACCUCGAGACGUCGGCGGAAACCCCCUGGCUAGAGUCCGGAAGAGGAGAGUGGAAUCCGUGGUGUAGCGGUGAAAUGCGCAGAUAUCAGGAAGAACACCCGUGGCGAAGGCGGCUCCUCUGGGACGGUACUGACGCUGAGACGCGAAGCGUGGGGAGCAAACAGG